rnacentral:lncRNA from 1 species
AGGUGCUAUGAGAGAUUCCUAACUCCUGAAAAACUGUGACAAAGGAUUAGAAGUUUUAAGAUAUGUGAAAAUGGUUGAACCAUCUACAAGAACUCUAAAAAUCCAAAGAAGAAAUGUAGAUGAGGAAAAUCAAGUGGACUAUUACACUGAAAUAAGACUCACUAUUGAUGAUGAUAAAGAUAGAUAAAAAAUGGAAUAAUGAGAAAAAUAACUGGAAACACUAAGGACCGUAAAAUGCAAUGGAUGAUCCAGCAGUAUACAAGUUUGGGAGCGUGAUGUUAGAAAUUUGUAAAAACUUGAGAAUGGAAGAUUUGGGGACAAUCUUCAAAUAUAUUAAAUAAAUUCCCUCAAUGUUGUCAAGAUGGAAAUGUUCCUCUGGGAUCACUGUCUGUAACAGCCACUGAAUAACAAAAUCAUUGUGUAUACAUGUGAAGAAAAUAACCUGCAGAGUGCAUACUAAAGAACAUAGCUUAGCAAUGACUUUCACAUCACAGGAUACAAAGAUAAAGUCACCAUCUGGAAAUGGUUCAAGCUACUUUCAAAUAUUUGGCCAGAAAAACAAAUGCAUCAAUAUUUUAUUAAUAGCUAUUAAGCCUUGCUUAAUGCAUAUGUUAUGUAGCAUAUGGGCAAAGUUAUUACUAAUUCCCAUAUAAAGACAUGAAAACUCUAAUACGUGUUUGGCAGAGCCACUAACCUUCUAGGAUCCCACAUUCUGGGAUCCUGACCCAGCCAGUGGUAGCCUCCGAGUAAGAAGAGCAGGAAGAGGAAUAGCUGGACUUGCAGCACAAGUCAUACAAAAUUUUAAAAUUUUUUCCUAGGGUUUUUUCCGCCCUCAUUUGGCUUCAGAAUCAAGACUGAGUUUGUGCAUCCAGUUUUAGAUGGAACAUUGAAAAACUUGCAGAUAUAUGAGGCAGUGGGGGAAGCAACAAGGAUUAUGGCUAAUCUAGUGACUAAGUCCUAGGAGGGAAGGUUGAAGAAGCUGGAUUCAACACUCAAUAGAGUGAUGGUACUCCUCCAAUAUGCCAGGGACUGAACCAUGCUCUGGGGAGAUGGUGGUACUAGAACCUAGGCUGAGUGCUUUGCCUAUAUGAUACAAUGUAAUCUUCAGAGUAACAUUGUGAAGGUGGCAGUCUCGGAUCAUUUUCAAAUGAGGAAAUCGAAGCACAAGGAGAUGAUGCUACAAAGGAUAUCGGCAUGUGUGUGACAUUUUUUUGUCUUCCAUUGAAUUGCUGAGCACAUUCCUGAGAGUGUGUUUACUGGUUCACAGAACAGGAACACAUUACAACCCUUUCUGUGUAAUAUCAGACUGCCCUGCAAAGGCCCAUACUGAUUGAAGAUGGCACCAACAGGAAAUGAGGGUGGCAUUGUCACCUCCAAUUUGGGCAGAAAAAAAGCACUGUUGAUGGUAAAAUCCCAUUUUAUUCAUUGGAAUUUCUGUGCAACUACACAUUUUGUUUUGUUUACAUUUUCUUUUAAAAUAACGAGGAGAGAGGAAGCUGAAAUGGAUCAGGAAGAAAAGCAAUUGAUAGGUAAGGGGGUGAGGGAAAGGAGAUGGGAGAAGGAAGGGAGGAGAAAGCAAUGGACAGCUGUGAUGGAGAGAGGGGAAAAGGGAGAACGUGUCGGAACGAUACAAUUAUGCUGAAAGAGUGAAGGCUCCCGUCGGAACCCUUUGGUUUCUAGAUGCCGUCAGCCUAAUCUCUCCCUAGGGUCUGAGAGUUCUGGGAGGCUUUGGUUUGAAAAUUCCCAUUCCAUCUCCUCAGCUCUGGCAACCACCUAAGUUUCUGUAUUUCUCUUAAAGACCCUUUCCACAAGACCUCUGAUUCUCUUCAUAGCCUCUCUCUGCAGAUGGGCUAAUGGCUGCCCUCAUGAGCCAUCUGGGCAUGGAAGUGGACAUUCUGAGGAGGGCUGGCUGUAGAUCCCAGCGCCUCCUUCCUGCUCUCAUGCCCUCUCUUUGGCCUCUCUUUGGGGAGGUGUUUAGGAGAGACCUUGACUGUUGAGAUCAGUCUCUGAGUUUGCCCUCUCUUUAUCUUCCAUCCCCAUGAAUCACAGCCGUAGAGACAGAGUGCACAAAUAUGUUUUUUUUUUUUUGAAUAAAGUUUCAAAGACUUUUUUUUGUUCAGGACUGCAAGUAGGACCUCAUUGUCUACACUGGCUGAGAAAAAUUUAGAAACAGAGUAUGCUAGGGUGGCCUUCCCCUAAUAUUUGACAAUUUUUCUAGUCUAAUCAUAUUUUUGUCCAUACUUUAGAAGCAAAAGCAUAAACCUCAAAAUGUUUUAACAUGAUUUUAACCAUCAUGGAAUGUUUGAAAAGCAGAAGAAAUAUGGCUACAAGAAAUAGAUUGUUUUUUCUUCCUGAGUGAUUUUGCAGGUCUCGGGCAAGGAAGACCUGUUUCCUGUCCCAGGAAUUCUCUUCCCCCCUCCCCCGGCAUCUCAUUUCCUCUCCUCCUCCUCACUUGUCCUCUAACAUCUUUUAGGUCUUUAUUGAAAUAUCACUUCCUCAGAGAAGCCUUUUCCAUCCACCCAAGCUAAAAGUUUCUUCUCCCUCACACUCUAUUCCCUUAUCUACUUUUUCUUAGAGCAGUUACCUGAUACUACUGUCAUUUACCAAUUUUUUUUUCUUGUCUCUCUCCCUCACUGAAACGAAAGCUCAGAGAGGGCAGGGACUUUGGGUCUCACUUGCCAUUGUAACCCCAAUUGCUAAAACAGUGCCUGACACAUGGUAAGUACUCAAAAAAUAUUUGUGGAAUGAAUAAAGAAAUGAAUGAGACAAAGGUAUUGGAUCUUCUGACUUAAAAAAAAAUUAAAGAGACCACACUUGGAACACAACUUAGACAUCUAGAAGAAAUGCAUUGAUCACAAUAGAGAUGGAAUACGAAAUGAAGAUGGCUUACAGGACCAUGUCAUCUCCAAUUCUAGGAAUUCAAACGCAGACCCAGCCAGCGUAUAUGAAGUGUAGUAGCCUGUUACCCUCAUGUGCCGGGUUAAGGGAAGGUGCACGGGGGAGCAUGGCCGCACAUGCAGAAGCUCUAGUUCCUGGGAGUGGGUCAUGAGGAGGAUGGUGGUGUUGAAAAGUCAGGAUGCAAGUAAACCACCAGACAUGUGUUGACCAAGAUUGGAGUUAGAGAGUAUGGGAAGUGGGUUUUUCCUGUUCCUUCUCCCUCUGUCCUUCCAACACACAGCCAUACCAUUCUCAUGGCAGCCCUCUCCUUCCCCAGAAAUUAUCUGAGCUGAAAGGGGAAAGGUGACUGUGACAGUGACCUCCUCCCCUUCCCCACUAGUCACAGUGGUCUCAGCCACCAUGGGAACAUGGGGAAGUGCAGUGCCUCAGGC